AGCCAGUCAGACGCCAGCAGUGAGAGAAGCGCGAGCCCCCCGUGCCGUCCGCUCUGUGUUCUAAGCAGGUCCUGAACGCUGCACGCGCUGCUCUGACUCCAGCGGGGCGGACAACCGGGAUCCCGACAGACCCGCUGGAGCCGGUCUACAGCUGUCACCUGAAGAGGACGCAACCGGCGGACACUAACCCCGGUGCCUGUCCCAGUGGGUUAACGUACCGACAGGCGGACGUCCUCCGGGAGGCGGACAAACAGAGGAAUGCUGUGGCUUUGUUUACCCAGGGGCCCUGAACGUCACAGACGGACGGCUCGGUUCUGGGUCUGACAGUGUUCGUCACUGUCACCUGAAGCCAAACCUGGUGGAAGUGGACUGGACUGGACUGGACCACUUUGUCACGGCUUGAGUUGUGGGUGCUGUCACUGUUUGGCAGAAGCAGCUAAUCCUCUAAGAUUCUGUUUCCUAAACCUGCAAAACUGUGACUCCGGGUUUGACUGCCCUGCAGAGGAGGCUGGGAUUCAGCUCUGUCGGAUUGCCCUUCUGGUUCUGGUUCUGUGCCAUUUCCAUUAUUCUGUCCAGCAGCCGCAGCUCCACUGCAGCUGCUCUGUGCUCAGUUUGUGUAUCAGUGUGGGUUAUUCACAGUGCUGCUAUGCAGACUGACUGGAGCCACUCUCAGACAGCUCAACUGUAACACGGAGUCAGAGCACAGAGGCUGGACUGCUGCACACAGAAAGAAACCUUUAAAGCUGCUGGGGAAAAGCUCUGAGCAAGACUCGAUCCAGAGGGACGACUUGUGCGUAAUAGCAGAUGUUACACAGCUUUGUGUACCAAUGUGGAUUAUUCAGGAUGCUGCUAUGUAGACAGAGUGGAGCCACAGAAAACCUGCUGGCAAAAUUAAAGUAACACACACAACUGUGCAGCUUCUGUCAGUGCAGCUGAACAGCUUGACUUACACAGUUGGCAGCAGAAGGUUUGUGAGGAAGGUAGAGAGUUUUGUGGGGUUUGUGCACACUUGAACAAAACACAUUCUGGUUCAGUAUGUGUUGGUUCUGAACAGUUUUAAGGACUGAAACCUGUACCUUGAAUCUUUAACAAAAUUUUUUCAGGUGAGAGUUUACUAAAACAAUGAGAAUCAGAAUACUUUAUUGAUCCCAGGGGAAUUAUUAUGUGUUACAGCUGCUCCAUGGAAGUAUAAUAGAAAGUAAUAGGAAAGAAAGAAAUAUAUAUAUGUAGGCUAUAAAGCUCUAAAUAUACAAACACAUACAGCUCUGAAUAUAUAUGUCAAAUAUACAUAUUACAACAUUUUAUUAAGACACAAUUAGAACAGCAAUUUGUACAAUAUGUGCUAGACAAUAUAUUAUCAAUAUGAUAAUUAAAGAAAUAUACAUAAAUAAGUGUGCAAAAACCUUGUUUUGUUAUUAACAAUUAUAUGGUUAUAAUGAGGAAAACUUAAGUAGGAAAACUACUUGCUUGUAGUGAGUAACACAUUUUAUUUGACACAUUCACAAUUUUUGUUAUAUCUUGUUUGACUUUUUACAUGUUGGUUAGACUGUGUGGGCAAUGAAGAACCCUCAUUUGUUAAGCAGUACCUUGAACAGAUCAAUGAACCAAACAGAGCCAGUCCUGAUCUCUGUGCCUGGUAUUAACAAGAAGUUUAAGAGGAAGUCCCGUGAGCCUAAAAGGCUGUUCAGGAGCCCAGAGCCUGUGAGGAUGAAGACGUACUCAGGGGACAUGUCUGAUGUGGACUCAGUAGACGACACCUUGGCUCCACUGCACACACAGCCUGCUGUGUCAAAGGAGGUGACAGGAAGUCUUCUCCCAGGAAACCCUGAAGAUAAAGCUCAGACUUUGGCCCAGAGCUGCGCCUUAGACAUGAGGAUCAGCAGUACCAUGCCUGCCAUCACCGCCAAACUGUCCCAGUUACCUGCCUCUCCAUUCUCCAACCUGGAGAUCUCCCACUGGCCUGCAGCCAUCUCCCAGCCACUGUCCAACAGACUCAAAGUUGGCCUGCGAUCCACCUUCCCCCUGUCCUCUGUGAGCAGCAGCAGCCACUCACCCAGCCACCAGGACUUCCACCUGGAGCCUGGCCCACAGCUGUCCCACACAGUCCAGUGUCAUGAGCAUGUGGAGCCCCAAGGCCUCUCUCCAAAGGAGUCUCCCCGGAAGAGAGUUGGGAUGAGUUCUGAAGUAACUGGGCGUCUUCCAGAAGUUAAAGCCAUUCAGCAAACCAGAAGGCUUCUGGCCAAUGCCCGGGAGAGGACCCGAGUCCACACAAUCAGUGCAGCAUUUGAGGCUCUGAGGAAGCAGGUGCCGUGUUACUCCUACGGACAGAAGCUUUCCAAACUGGCCAUAUUACGUAUAGCUUGCAACUACAUUCUGUCUCUGGCUCAGUUGGCAGAGCUGGACUACAGCUCAGACCACAGCAGCCUGAGUUUCUCUCACUGUGUGGAGCAGUGUACCAGGACCCUACAGGCUGAGGGCCGCAGCAAGAAGAGAAAGUCCCAGACACCAGAUGUUUAGAGUGGAGGGGAAGUGGAGCUGGCGCCAUGAAGGGCAGAGGGCAGCGAGAAGGUUGGGAGGAUUCCAGAAGAUGUGUGACAUUUUUGCUGCAACAUAAGUCUUCUCUCAAACCUCUCAAGAUUUCUACAUGGAAAAUAAUAACAGUUACUUCAAUCAAAGAAGCAAAUGGUAUGGGAAAAAUGUCAAAUGAAAUACAUGUGAAGACAGACGUGUUUUCAUUUGUUUCCUUGUGUUUUUAGCUGUUGUUUCCCACAUUAUAUGCUUCCUUUAACUUAAAUGUUAGGAUUUGCUGAGCUUUACAGUGAUAAAUGAGCUAACCAACGUAUUGAUUUGACUAAUGUGAUGUAUUACUUAGUGUUGACAAUGUUUACACAAAGCUACACUUUUUGUACAUAUCCAAGUGUGGCUGGGCUCUUGUGUAUUAUUUCAGUAAGGGCUUUCUCUUUGACUAUUUUGAAAUCUGAAAACUGAAAUGAUCUGUGAACCUCUGUUCUAGAGACGUGUUCGACCUCAGUAGCCUGACUUGUUUGGGUAGUGUGCACAUACUCUGCCUAGACAACCCACUUACAGAGUGUGUGGAUGUUAGCUGCAGUGUAAUUCCAACUGAAUGUGUGGGGUGUGAUGGUGUGUGUGCUGACAGUUCAGCCUAAUGCUGCCAGCCUGUUUCCUCAAAAGCUGUGGAAACCCUUCCCCCCACUUCUUUCUGUCAUUUAAAGGUGGAGUAAAGCUGUGUUCCAUGUAGCUCAGAAGUCAGAGCUGUGAAUUCUGUCCCACUCCAGCUGACUGCGUUCCAGUACAACUCGUUAAGCCAAUAGCAAUAACCACUUGUAGUUAGGUUAGCUACUGGAAGCCAUGUCAGUACCCAGUUAAUACCAGAAACCUCAUUUGUUUUACAUGUGCAAAUGUUGCUUCCUGUCACUGUUAUUUCUACUUCAUUAAAGGCAGUUUCUGGGAUUAGGAAAUGCACUUGACAACUACAGAGAUCGGUAAAGACAUUAACAAAAGAAAUCUAUGCAAUAGUCCAGUUCAGCCUUAUUGAGGAAAGUUUUGCCAGAUCAGGUCAUGCAAAGAGGAAAGGAUUUAGUAGAAGAUGGGAAAUCACAUUACUGUUUAGAAGUGAUGAGGACACUGAAGUUGUGACUGCAGUUUAGUUUGUUUAGAAUCUAAUGUGUUACUUCUAGUGACUAUAAAUCAGUGGCUAUAAGUUGUUGACUGUUUUCCUCAAUAAAACAUAUCAUAUACUGUUGUUUGCCACAGAACAUAUUUUCUAUAAUAAUCCAAAAGCCAUUUCCUGGUUAACCUACAAAAAUAUACUUUGGUCCAGUUAUGAAGUAACAUGGUGAAACAAAUAUUUAAGCAGAUUGUCAUCUGUGUAGCAUUGUAUCAGGACCUUCAGGGAACACCCCCAUCCCGUGUGUGGAGUCUGAGCAUCUUUUUUUUUUCUUUCUCCAUCUUCUUACAGAGCCAGAUCUGUGUACAAACAGAUCAUCUGAUUUUUUUCUGGCAUAAUCACAACACAAAGAAAUAGGGCACAUGAGAUAUUCACUAAAUUUGACUGAGAGAGUGUUGGAUUAAAAUUGCUUACUCCACCUUUAAACUGGACUGGCUGUAUAUGAACAGGUAACAUCUGAACUGUAUGAAACAGUCAUCAAAUAGUCAUAGUUUGACAAUAAAACCCAUUUUAUCACCAGAAGAACAUGUACAAUGAUUAAAUAAAUACACAGUGAAUUGUUUUAAUUUUACAGCUUACAUUGAGAGAUCUAGAAUGUACUUUAACUAUUGUAGACAAAUAUGGAAUUAAUUGUGAAAAACAUGCAUCACAUUAUUCAACUUUUAUUAAAGUGCCACUGAAUUUUUUUAUUUUUUUUUUCAUUGAUUUGUCAAAAGACUGUCAGCAUUCUGCCUGUAUAUAAAGAACACCUGUUUCCAUGCAUCCAACCAAGAACUUAAUUUGAAACUAAAUUAGCAUGACAGUAAUGAGGAGUUACACCACAUCUACAUGGCAAUAUUGACUGUCAUAAAGACAGAAGAUCUACAGGGUUGGAAUAACAUUAUCUGUCUGCUUAAGCCUCUGCAUAUGUAAGGCAAUCACAUGGUUUCCUUGAUUUGUUUACUUUCUCUCUUGUUCAUCAUUCACACCAACAAAACACAAAAGCAAAAACAUCUGUCAGGGAUUUUUUACUUUAAAAACCCUCUAUUUAGCUCUUUAAAUAUGUAAAAAUUACAUAUUUUUAUAAACAUGUAUUUAAGUAAUACUAUACCAGUGUGGCAAGUAAAGUGUAAUAAAAAAAAACAAUAAUAAUAAUAAUAAAAUAAAAAUCGCAUUUUGAUUCCCCAAAUUGGCUGUCUUUGAAUUGUUAUUAACUGUUAUAUAUAUGUUGUGCAAAAUGCAACCAACAGUUACUUUAAAAAAAAUACUUGUGUUAGCAAAAAAGUUCAAUGAACUUUUUGUUUGAACACAUGAACACAUCAAUGAACUUCAUCAUGAACAGGACCUGUGUAGUAUUUUCACUUCAAAAUAACCAUUGACCUGUUGAAAGACUCAUAUAUUUUGUACUUUUUCUACGCUACAUUAUGCUACCAGAUGCAGCUAGAUGUGAAUUUUGAAUGAAUGAAUGAAUGUAUUUACCAACUUAACUCUUCUUUUGGGCAGUGAUGGUCUCUAGUGGAAAAAUGCUGUGCGCUAAUAAACUAUAAAGCAGCUUAUUAUCCAUCUUUCAAAGAUUUGGAACCAAGGGGGCAUUCAUUGACCUUUCACCAACUGUACAGGAGACCAAACCAAAAUGACCAUUUUGGUAUGAACUUCAACCUUUAAUAUUAUAGUUUUAUACUCACUGGUAAGAGUAUACUAGAUGUUUUAUUAGAAUUUGAAAACCCCAACAACAUGGUUGCAUCCAAAGUGAGCAAACCAUUACAGUAAUGUUAUUAAACAAAACAACAACCCAUUGUGAUGAAAUAAAAUACUAAUUACUGAAUAAAAAUCUUUACAUCCCUAUCACUUCUCAUAUAGCAAUAUGAAUAUACCAUAUGUACAUUUUUAUUUAGCUAACAUAGUAAUCGUGUAAGCCUCGAUGUCUGAUUGAAAAGAUGUUACAGAUGUACUAGUACUUGUACUAGUAAAAAAUGUGAGGGUAAAUAUCAUUUACUGAAUGAAUGAUGACAUUCAGUAACUACAAAGUUGAUAUUCAAAUACUGUAUGGGCUUCAGCCCUCUCUGAACUGACUUGUUUACUUUCUUCAUUCUGAAGAUCUUUGGUUUUUCAAUAAAAACUGGUCUAAGAAUUCAUUUGUGUCUGCUGUGUAGUAGAAUGAAAACACUAAAAACUGGAUUAUU